rnacentral:rRNA from 1 species
UACGAAGGGUGCAAACGUUGCUCGGAAUCAUUGGGCGUAAAGCGCACGUAGGCGGCUUCGCAAGUCGGAUGUGAAAUCCCUCGGCCACACGAGGACGUGCAUCCGAAACUGCGGAGCUUGAGUACUGAAGAGGAUCGCGGAAUUCCCGGUGUAGAGGUGAAAUUCGUAGAUAUCGGGAGGAACACCAGUGGCGAAGGCGGCGAUCUGGGCAGAUACUGACGCUGAGGUGCGAAAGCGUGGGGGAGCAAACAGG